UAAUGUAUGUCUUAGGAUUUCUUUGUGGAUUGCAGAUGGACUGGUGUCAUGACCUCUCCGGAGUGUAGUCGUCAGGUACAUUUUGCUUUUGUUUUGAAUAUGUUUUUUAUGGCUAGAAAUAAAUUCACACUGGGCUGUCUGAGUUUCAUGUAAAGCGGUCAAAAAUGAGCCUACACUUGUGAACACCACCCAAUUAAUGUAUUUAAGCCUCAUUUUAAGGCUUUGCUGUGUGCUGACAGAGUUCAAAGUAUCCAGGUUACCCAAUUUAAACACAAGGUGGUGGUUAAAGUCCCUUUAUUGCAAUGGGUUUUUUUUCCCAGUUUGAACUAAAAGCAUUAUGGGCGUGGUGACAGUGUUACAGGCUCCCCAGCCUUAUUAAUGUAAUAAUUUGUAAUUAAAUAUAUUUCAACCAAAAUGACUGGGUGCAAGCAGCAGGCUCCUAAUUUCUGUGAAUUUAUAGAAGCACAUAAAAUGAAAUAGGUAAGGUCCCAAAGAAGUUUUAUGUGAUCUUAUGUAUAAUAGAAUAAUGUACAGUAGGCAUAGUGCCAUCAUCUGCUCUAAGUGUUUUGUCCCCACAGCAAAAAGCAUCACAGGAUGAGCAGUGUCUGUGUAAUACUAAGAGAAACUUAAGGUCAAUGUCAAAGUUCAAGGGGCUUUAGUAGCCUUUUUUUAUGUGUAUCUCAGGUUUUUGAUGCAGAGGAACAUGCACUGUGGAUUACAAGUUUUGGUUGGUGAAAUAUAAUAUACAGUUGUUGUCUUUGAACAUAAGACAAUUGAUAGUCACACCUUUGGUACUUUUAUUUGAGAUUUCAAAGUUUGGAUAAGAUAUGUGGAAAGUACCAUAAAUAUAGUUCACAUUUAGGUGAAAUGGUUUAUCAUCAUCAUAUACUGGAGGUGGAUGACAGUUUGACAAUGAAAUGGUGAAUGUAUUUAUUUUUGCAAGGAGAGAUGGGGCAAAAAGCAAUGGAAUUUACACUGCACACCUUUAUAUUAAUGAAUUCAAUUGUCUUUUGUUUCAGCCACCUGAUGUUGCAGGGGCGCUGGAUGUCAAGAGGCAUCACCUUAGAUGACACGGUUAUUUUUCACCUUGCUCAUACAGAAUGUCCACAGUAUCUGAGGGGCCAGCCCAAACAAGCAAAUUUGAUGUUCAGUUACAGCGAAUGAGUACGUCUGUCAAAUGUACGUUUCCAGAUAACGACAUCACACCGGUGUUUUUCCUCCACUUUCAGAGCUCCGAAGGCCACCUGGCAGUGAGCCCCAUCCCCAGGGAUACAUCUGAUGAUUUAUCAGAAGAUCAGCAAAUAGCAAGAGGAAAAUGAUGUGCCCACUGAAGACAUCUUGAGAGGAGAGUUGGCAGAAGACGUUCUUAUAGACAGAUGUUGCAGAAAAUGAGGGCAUCCUGUGAUGGUGCUGAAAGGACAAUUCAUCCUGUCAAGUAGGUGGACACAUUACACAAGGAGCAUCAGGGCUGUGGAACGAGCAAAGGAGCGCAAUGCCGGGACACUGUAGAUCUCCUUCCUGACAUGGAAACAUGAAAAAUAGCGCCUCACACUCCGUCCAGACGUGACUGUUUUGCCAACAUGCAAACCUCUGUUGUCCCUCUUUGCCAUCCCCUCCUACUCCAUUUGUGGAUUCAAACCCCGUCUGACCCUCCACUGGCCUGUGCCAUGCUCGGGCCAAAACAGGAAGAGGAAACAGACGGGUAUCAGUGAAGGAAGCUACUUGCCAUCAUGUUGAAGUGUAGUGGGCGUAAGUCUGUGACACCAUUAUCCACGUAGUAGAUCUUCUUCAUACUGAGGAGACUUUGUGUCAGAUCAGGUUAUUAAA